rnacentral:rRNA from 1 species
AAUGGGGGAUAACGUAGCGAAAGUUACGCUAAUACCGCAUAUGCCCUGAGGGGGAAAGGUGGGGAUCGCAAGACCUAUCGUUUUCGGAGUGGCCGAUAUCAGAUUAGCUAGUUGGUGGGGUAAAGGCCUACCAAGGCGACGAUCUGUAGCGGGUCUGAGAGGAUGAUCCGCCACACUGGGACUGAGACACGGCCCAGACUCCUACGGGAGGCAGCAGUGGGGAAUUUUGGACAAUGGGGGCAACCCUGAUCCAGCCAUGCCGCGUGAGUGAAGAAGGCCUUCGGGUUGUAAAGCUCUUUCAGCCGGAAAGAAAUCGCGCAGGCUAAUAUCCUGUGUGGAUGACGGUACCGGAAGAAGAAGCACCGGCUAACUACGUGCCAGCAGCCGCGGUAAUACGUAGGGUGCGAGCGUUAAUCGGAAUUACUGGGCGUAAAGCGUGCGCAGGCGGUUUUGUAAGACAGGCGUGAAAUCCCCGGGCUUAACCUGGGAACUGCGUUUGUGACUGCAAGGCUAGAGUGUGGCAGAGGGGGGUAGAAUUCCG